CGGACGGGUGAGUAACGCGUGGGUAACCUGCCAUAUACAGGGGGAUAACAGCGAGAAAUUGCUGCUAAAACCGCAUAAGCGCACGGAGUCGCAUGACUCAGUGUGAAAAACUCCGGUGGUAUAUGAUGGACCCGCGUCUGAUUAGCCAGUUGGCGGGGUAACGGCCUACCAAAGCGACGAUCAGUAGCCGGCCUGAGAGGGUGGACGGCCACAUUGGGACUGAGACACGGCCCAAACUCCUACGGAAGGCAGCAG
rnacentral:rRNA from 1 species